UUGUCAGGUGCUGCAUGGCUGUCGUCAGCUCGUGUCGUGAGAUGUUCGGUUAAGUCCGCUAACGAGCGCAACCCUCGCUGUGUGUUACAAGUGUCACACGGAACUGCCGGUCAUAAACCGGAGGAAGGUGGGGAUGACGUCAAGUCAGCAUGGCCUUUAUAUCCUGGGCUACACACACGCUACAAUGGGAAGGGACAAUAGGUUGCGAAGCCGCGAGGCGGAGCCAAUCCAGCAAAACUUCCCUCAGUUCAGAUUGCAGGCUGCAACUCGCCUGCAUGAAGUUGGAGUUGCUAGUAAACGCAGGUCAGCCAUACUGCGUUGAAUACGUUCCCGGGGCUU
rnacentral:rRNA from 1 species